AUGGUAGCUUCACGUAGCUGGCUGUUGGGGCUUAUCGUAGCUCUGCUUUGCACUGGAUCGUUCAGGGAUUCUGUGCAGGCUGAAGAAAGACUGCAAAGUGAGGAAGUCGAGGUGCUGAGGGGUCUAAACCUUACUGGAGGUGAGAAAGAGGAGGUGGCUGAUGAGGAGGAGGGUGGAAAUAUAUCUGACGAAGCUGAUGAAGAUGCGGGAGGAGAUGGGGAAACAGAGGAAGCUGAAGACGAGGACGAUGGAAAGGAAGCUUCUGAGGAAGAGAUGACACCAGAAGAGGAGAUAACUAAGGAGGAAGAAGCAGCUGAGCUUGAAGUGGAAGAUGCUGAGGAGGAGGAAGAGGAGGAGGCCGAAGAAGGAGCAGAUGAAGAGGAAGUAGCAGAGGAAGAUGAUGAGGCAGAAGGAGUAGAAGAUGAAGAGCAAGCAGCAGAGGAAGAGGUAGAAGAAGCAGAAGAGGAGGAUGAGCAGAUGGAGGUAGAUGUAGAAGAAGAAUUAGCAGAAGAAGAGGAAUCAGCACAACAGACAACAGAGGAAGAAAAAACAGCAGCAGAGGAUGAGGGAGCACCAGGUGAGGAAGAGGAAGAGGCAGAUGGGGAAAAGGUAGCUGCUAAUGAAGAUAAUGAGGAGGCUGGAGAUGAAGAGACCAAAGCUGAAGAUAAUGUUGAAGAAACUGCCAAGGAAGAAAAUGUAGAGGCAGAGUUGGUCUCCGUACAGUAUAGCUCAGGCUCUUUCUGUGCCCUUUGCUCAGUCUGUGAGCACUGCGGUACCUGUGACAAAUGUCCCUGUGAGGAAGGAGAAAUGUCAGCACACUGCAAUCACUGUGACGUAGGUCUUUCUUAA
ensembl:lncRNA